AAGCUAUUACCUCAUCUGCCUUGUGUGUUUAAUAUUCUGGGACCAAUAUGGCUACAACAAUAUUGAAUGGUAAAUGACAGACUAAACCAUGUGCGUUAGGAAUGAGCAAAUGCAUAUUUAUUCAUAUGCAUUAUUUUAGUCUUUUUCCCCCCUUAGGCUGUAAUUUAGACAUUAGGGCAUAAAUGCUCCAAAGUCUAUAAAGUUAAUGUGUGUUUUGUUACUCUCCUUUAGAAUAGCAUAUACAUGAAUCUAAUAUAUAUUGUAAAUCUUUGCAGAUCUUUGACUCAAUAAUCUAGGAUGCCAGUGUCUGGUAGACAUGUAUAACUAAAAGACCUUUUCUCCCUGCUAUACAUGCAUGACUCUGAUUGACACUAAUGGUUUUGUAUGUAUUUAUCAAGAAGGAAAAGACCUUUAAGUCAUGUGUUGAAACUUCUAAUGAAACUUAAGGUGAAAAAAGAUGCACAGCAGCUGACUUUAAACUUCAUCAGCUCAGCUGGGUUUUAAUUUUCCAAACAGCCAAGUAAUUCGGCCAUAUUAAGAGUAACUGCUGGCCAAUUUUCAGUAAGUGGUUUAAUAAGUCCCUCGAAAUACACUGGGAUCUGAUGAAUGUAUAGCAUUGGCCUUGGAAGCCUGUGCUCCCCUCCGUGCCUGCCUAAAUGAACCACUUCCUUAUUUCUCCAAUCUACCCCAGGUAAGAGUGCAAAGCAAAAAAAAAAAAGUUUUUUCUGGGGUUCAAGUAGAAUGCAGAGGGAUUUCCCAGGAGGAAAAAUGACUACAUUUCUUUUUCUAAAAAAUUUAAAUAACAUUUUUGUCCUUGUCUUGUAUUUAAGGCUCCCUCCCUCCAUGCUCAGUGAAUAAGUGUGACACAAAACUAAUGGAUCUGGAAUGGAAAUUGGAAACAUAGUGAAUAAGGGAAAGUGCUGUCAUAGUGAGAACUAAGAUUUAUACUUUGGGUAGACUGGGAGACGUAGUUGCACUGAUCCAGACUAACACAGCUACCCCUCUUAUACUUUGGGACAGUGUCUCUAUUGCAAGAGAUUGGCCAGUGUACACCAGCAGUGAUGUUCCCCCAUUAACAGCUGAAAUCACUGAAAGCUGUGUUAAGUGCAGGGGCCCUGAAGAUACCUUGGCAAGUGGCCAGACGGGAGGCUGGUGGAAAGGCGUGGCCAGCACGGCGGAUGGCUGAGAGGUCCAGUAAGCAGCCAUCAGGGUGACUGGUGGAGAGGGCCAGAGCAGAGCCCUACAGAGAGGUGCGACCAUCAGCCGUUGGGGCAAUGAACAAGUGCCCAAACAGUGGAGUGUGUAAGGUGCCUCCUUACCGCCCGCCCUCUCCACACAGGGUGGGAGGUGAACUCUGCAGAUGAGCCUCUGAACUCUGGGGCUACACUGGCCAAGGCGAGCUGGUUUUGUGUUGUAUUGUUGAAAAGGAACCUCUGGAUACUGAACCCGGCCCUUUUGCUGCUGACUCCACCUGGCAGAAUAUGUAAAUAUUACAUCUGUGAAUUAGAGCUGGUCAGGAAAGCAAACCUUUUAAAUUGCUUUUGUGUGUGUGUGUGUGUGUGUGUGU